UGGUGUUUUGAGCUCCCUGUAACUGUGUAUCAACAAAGAAUGGCAGAAUCAACAGAGAAGCAAAGAGACAGUGAACCAAAACAGCAUGAAGAAGCAGAUGGAGACGAUUACAUGGGAGACCUGUCUCAGUUUCUUCCUCCUGAAACAACAAACCCUUCAAAAUCCUCUGCCAAAAAGACCGUCAACAAGGAAACACCAACUUUUCAAUCAUUCAAUAAGAAGUCCAAAAACAUUAGCUGGCAAGAACAACGAAGACUUGAAAGGGAGAAAAAGCAACAAGAGGAGGAUGAGCAAACCAUGGCAAGAAUAGAAGCUCCAAUUCCUCCAUCUAACAUUGGGUUUAAGUUGUUAAAGCAAAUGGGUUACACCCCUGGUUCAGCCCUUGGUAAGGAGGGUUCAGGAAGAGCUGAGCCAGUGGGGAUUCAGAUUCGGCGGACACGAGUAGGGAUUGGAAGAGAGGAACCGCAUAAGGAGAAGAGGAAGAGAGAAGAGAUUGAGGCAGAAAGGAACAGAAUGAAGGAGAGCGAGUUAAUGGAAGAGUUUGGGUCAAGGCAAAAGUCUCAAUGGCGAAGUCGGAGAGUUGUAGUAAAUUUUAUGAAAGCAAAAGCAGCUCUUGAUCAAUUGGAGAACAAAGAAGUUGUGGAACCAAAGAAGAAUGAAGAUGAAGAGGAUGGUGAACAGGAUGAGGAGGAAGAGGAAGAGAUAACAGAAGAGGAUUUGCAAGAACUGUUGAUGAAACUGAGAGAUGAAUAUCAAUACUGCCCGUUUUGUGGCUUUCAGUACGAAACAGUGGAAGCCCUCCAAUCCAACUGCCCUGGAAUAAACGAAGACGACCACUAGAUGUUGCUAGUGCAAGAGGCACUUAUGCAAACUUGUUCAAUAUCUGCAAGUUGCACUUUGCAUAUUGCUCUUGCACGUGAGCUUGCUCACAAUCGAGGACGCAAUUUCAGUGGUUGACAUGUCAUGUGGCAAGUGGUGAACAAGAUAACGGGAUAGUGUGUGUCCACUUUGCACGCGAUUGGGGGCUGGCCCUAUAUAAAGGUCACGUUGCAGACAUUGGUUGGCUGCCUUCCUCCUCUCCGACGAGGCAAAUUCCAAGGAGCUGGAUAUGCUUAGCCAUGGAUGAUCUCAAGAGUGGACUAAUAGAGACGUGGGAGGGACAUGGAUAUCCCUUGAGAAGCUUGUUGAGGUAGAGCUGUGCAAUUCGCUACCUUAGAGACUCAAAUAGGGUAGCCAUAUGCUAGCUAGGGAGGCCCAGUCCUCAACCAUGGAUAGACAGGGACUGGGUCCUUCGUUUGUGUUAUCCUCCUUAUUCUCCCUGUGGGUAAUUCAUUGUAAUUUUUUAACGGUUUAUUCUCUCACAAAUCACUAUAAAUUUAAUUAGUUAAUUUUUUUAAAAAAAUUAUUUUGAUUCUUGAAUUAUUAUUAUUAUUUUGGCACAAUUGAGCUCUUUUGAGCAUAAAUUAGUAUUUAAUUGCAUAUUUUUUAUUAGAA